rnacentral:rRNA from 1 species
UACGUAGGGGCCUAGCGUUGUCCGGAUUUAUUGGGCGUAAAGAGCUCGUAGGCGGUUCGGUAAGUCAGGUGUGAAAUCUCCACGCUCAACGUGGAGGGGCCACCUGAUACUGCCGUGACUCGAGUCCGGUAGGGGAGUGUGGAAUUCCCGGUGUAGCGGUGGAAAUGCGCAGAUAUCAGGAAGAACACCCGUGGCGAAGGCGGCUCUCUGGGACGGUACUGACGCUGAGACGCGAAAGCGUGGGGAGCGAACAGG